rnacentral:rRNA from 1 species
AGCCCUAAGCAUUAAUUUAGGGUGAUACCUGCCCAAUGAGAUAUUGAAUGGCCGCGGUACUCUGACCGUGCUAAGGUAGCAUAAUCAAUUGACUUUUAAAUGGAGUCUGGAAUGAACGGGGUAACGGAAUUGAGCUGUCUCACUUAUUUUUUCUGAACUUACUAACUAAGUGAAAAGGCUUAGAAUUGAAAAAAGACGAGAAGACCCUAAGAGUUUUACAUUUUGUUGGGGCGACAAGGGAUCGGAACAUCCUCGAUAAUGUGGCGGCUGUGUCAGGAAAAGAUAAACUACCUUAGGGAUAACAGCAUAAUUUUUUUAAGUUUGUGACCUCGAUGUUGGACUAGGAGGCCUCUAGGCUAGCUGCUUAGAGAGGAGAUUCUGUUCGAAUUAUCACUCCU